AGGCAAUGAUGAUUUAAAAUUAUACCAUCAAACUAUGAAAGCUUAGUCAUAAGCUUAUUGAUUCUCAAUCAUUAAUUUCUGAGCCU